rnacentral:rRNA from 1 species
CAACUUUCAACAACGGAUCUCUUGGUUCUGGCAUCGAUGAAGAACGCAGCGAAAUGCGAUAAGUAGUGUGAAUUGCAGAAUUCAGUGAAUCAUCGAAUCUUUGAACGCACAUUGCGCCCUUUGGCAUUCCAAAGGGCAUGCCUGUUCGAGCGUCAUUUG